rnacentral:rRNA from 1 species
UGCCAGACUCCUACGGGAGGCAGCAGUGGGGAAUAUUGCGCAAUGGGGGAAACCCUGACGCAGCAACGCCGCGUGAGUGAAGAAGUAUCUCGGUAUGUAAAGCUCUAUCAGCGGGGAAGAAGGAAGACGGUACCCGACUAAGAAGCCCCGGCUAACUACGUGCCAGCAGCCGCGGUAAUACGUAGGGGGCAAGCGUUAUCCGGAUUCACUGGGUGUAAAGGGAGCGUAGACGGCGACGCAAGUCUGGAGUGAAAGCCCGGGGCCCAACCCCGGGACUGCUCUGGAAACUGCGUCGCUGGAGUACGGGAGGGGCAGGCGGAAUUCCUGGUGUAGCGGUGAAAUGCGUAGAUAUCAGGAGGAACACCGGCGGCGAAGGCGGCCUGCUGGACCGUGACUGACGUUGAGGCUCGAGAGCGUGGGGAGCAAACAGGAUUAGAUACCCCCGUA